GUCAGUGUGGCCGAGUGGUUAAGGCGACAGACUCGAAUGGCCAAUCAAAAGGCCACGGUCAUCUGUUGGAGUUUCUCCGCACAGGUUCAAAUCCUGUCGCUGACG
rnacentral:tRNA from 2 species